rnacentral:lncRNA from 1 species
AACAAUUGCACAAAACCCCCUCUCACACAAUACAACUUGCAUCUCCAGUUCAGUUUAGCAGUUUAGAGUCGUUGGAGCCCUUCUGAAUGUACGUUUACGCUGAAAUUUAACAGUCAGGCUCGGUUUAACUUAACAAAACUGAAUAUAUCUUAACUUUUCAGUUUUAACCAUUUUUGGUCAUCGAAAGCUUUACCGAAUUGUAAUAUCUAGCAGAUAGCAGUCGGAUUUUAUUCUCCACCUUCCGGGUGUCGGAAUGACAUGAAACUUUAAAUCUAUCCUCAUAAAAAUAAUUCCGACAUAUUCUCCAGUUUUCAUAAUUUUCUGACACUGUGCAUUUUCUGCUAAAAUAUCAGCCCCGUCUCUCACAGAAAAUUAUAAAUCUUCUAUUUUCGUUCCGAUUUCAGCACAAGUCAUUCCUGACUUAUAUUUUAUUUCUCUAAAUCCAAUAAAAUUAGUAUCUCACACUAUUUUUAUUUAUAUUUAUUUUUAUAUUAAAUUUCGGUAUAUUACAGCCACGAAGUUCCAAGUUUUUCUUAUC